UGGUGAAUGAGACUGGGAAAGGAC
rnacentral:misc_RNA from 1 species